GACGAACGCUGGCGGCGUGCUAAUACAUGCAAGUCGAACGAGAGCGACCGGUGCUUGCACUGGUCAAUCUAGUGGCGAACGGGUGAGUAACACGUGGGUAACCUGCCCAUCAGAGGGGGAUAACAUUCGGAAACGGAUGCUAAAACCGCAUAGGUCUUCGAACCGCAUGGUUUGAAGAGGAAAAGAGGCGCAAGCUUCUGCUGAUGGAUGGACCCGCGGUGCAUUAGCUAGUUGGUGAGGUAACGGCUCACCAAGGCCGUGAUGCAUAGCCGACCUGAGAGGGUGAUCGGCCACAUUGGGACUGAGACACGGCCCAAACUCCUACGGGAGGCAGCAGUAGGGAAUCUUCCGCAAUGGACGCAAGUCUGACGGAGCAACGCCGCGUGAGUGAAGAAGGUUUUCGGAUCGUAAAACUCUGUUGUUAGAGAAGAACAAGUGCUAGAGUAAGCUGUUAGCGACCUUGACGGUAUCUA
rnacentral:rRNA from 1 species